UACGGGGGGGCGAGCGUUGUUCGGAAUUAUUGGGCGUAAAGGGUGCGUAGGCGGUUUGGUAAGUCUGAUGUGAAAUCUAUGGGCUCAACUCAUAGUCUGCAUCGGAAACUGCCGGGCUUGAGUGUGGAGAGGUGAGUGGAAUUCCUGGUGUAGCGGUGAAAUGCGUAGAUAUCAGGAGGAACACCUGUGGCGAAAGCGGCUCACUGGACCAUAACUGACGCUGAUGCACGAAAGCUAGGGGAGCAAAACAGG
rnacentral:rRNA from 1 species